AUUGAACGCUGGCGGUAUGCCUUACACAUGCAAGUCGAACGGCAGCACGGGUGCUUGUAGCUGUUGGGGAGUGGCGAACGGGGGAGUAAGACGUCGGCACAUGUCCUGACGUGGGGAAUAGGGCGGCGAAAGUGGGAUUUAUACCGAUUACGCUCUACGGCUGAGGGUGGGGGCCGUGGGGGUUCGGCGCUUGCGCGUUGGACGAUGCCUGAUUAGCUAGUUGGUGGGGUAAAGGCCUACCAAGGCGACGAUCAGUAGCUGGUCUGAGAGGAAGACCAGCCACACUGGAACUGAGACACGGCCCAGACUCCUACGGGAGGCAGCAGUGGGGAAUAUUGGACAAUGGGCGAAAGCCUGAUCCAGCAAUGCCGCGUGUGUGAAGAAGGCCUUCGGGUUGUAAAGCACUUUUGUCCGGAAAGAAAUGCUUGACCCUAAUACGGUCGGGUGAUGACGGUACCGAAAGAAUAAGCACCGGCUAACUACGUG
rnacentral:rRNA from 1 species